UACAGAGGAUGCAAGCGUUAUCCGGAAUGAUUGGGCGUAAAGCGUCUGUAGGUGGCUUUUUAAGUCCGCCGUCAAAUCCCAGGGCUCAACUCUGGACAGGCGGUGGAAACUACCAAGCUGGAGUACGGUAGGGGCAGAGGGAAUUUCCGGUGGAGCGGUGAAAUGCGUAGAGAUGUGGAGGAACACCGAUGGCGAAGGCAGCCCCCUGGGGUAACACUGACGCUCAUGCACGAAAGCGUGGGGAGCAAACAGG
rnacentral:rRNA from 1 species